rnacentral:lncRNA from 1 species
AAGAAAGCAUGGAGUAGGAGUUUAGGUUUCUUGGUCCUAUGGUUUGGGUCACUAGGGUCCUUAACCCUUAACCCUUACCCUAACCAUAACCCGUACCUAACCUUAACCCUUACCUUAACCCUUUUAACUGUAAACUUCAUUGGGAUAGGGACGUCCCAAGGAUCCCGGAUACCAUAGGACGCACCCUAGGGUUUGGGAGGUGGAAGGUAAUGUCGUAAAGCAGAGUGUCGUAAACCAGGUGCAGGGAGGGGAGGUGAAGCGGGGGGAGAGGGGGAGAGAGAGGAGGUGACUCUCCAGCAGCAUUUAGACACAGCGAAAGGAUCAUGGCGGAUGGCCCCAGGUGUAAGCGCAGAAAGCAGGCAAAUCCGAGGAGGAAUAACGGAAGCCACUGGAGGUUCUGAUUACACUUCUCCUUCUCCUGCCCGGGUGUCUCUUACGUCUUUCAGUUUUGUUUUCUUGCAGGUCACGUUGUCUAAUAGUGUGUUAGGUUUCCUAUUAUCCUCGUCAUUCCUUAGUGCCACUCGUUACUUCCCCCCAAGACACCUGUAGACAGGGAGGAAUGAAUAACCAUGAGGUUAGUCAUCACACCAAACCAUACUCAUAUCUCGUUGCCUGUCUGUCUACUCCGAAAAAUGUUCAAGUUCUUAAAUGGUUCUUCCUCACUCUUAAGGUUUCUUGAAGAACUCUUGCCAAAUAAAUAAUCUUUGAGUUAAGUGUGGGGUUCUUGACAUAGCAUCUACGGUUCUUAAGAAUUAUUAAAGGUUCCUGAAAUGUAUGGAAGCCUAUAGAUGUAUCCCUUUCAUAACACACAGUAAACUGGCCAGUGUUGGCUAGUAUUGAUUUUACAUACAUAUCUAGUGUUGAUUCAAGAGUUAAAGAGUUAAAACACUCUAUGGUGUAAAAGAACCCCAGUGUUUGUGUUAAUUACCAGGGUUGAACCAAAACCACACCCAUCAUUAUCAUAUUUCCCAGCAUGCUUUAUUGCAGGUUUAUUUUUAGAAUAGUUUGUUUCAAUAUCUAUGUUUUUGCAUGUACAUUGAUUCCUUAAUCCUAUGCUACUCAAAUAUAAAUAACAUACAUUUUUCUAAACUAUUUCAAU